rnacentral:rRNA from 1 species
UACGAAGGGGGCUAGCGUUGCUCGGAAUUACUGGGCGUAAAGGGCGCGUAGGCGGUGCGGUAAGUCACCUGUGAAAUCUCCUGGCUCAACUGGGAGCUUGCAGGCGAAACUGCCGUGCUGGAGUGUGGGAGAGGUGAGUGGAAUUCCCAGUGUAGAGGUGAAAUUCGUAGAUAUUGGGAAGAACACCGGUGGCGAAGGCGGCUCACUGGCUCGUAACUGACGCUCAGGCACGACAGCGUGGGGAUCAAACAGG